rnacentral:rRNA from 1 species
AGUCCAUACGUAAACGAUGAAUGCUAAGUGUUGGAGGGUUCCCCUUCAGUGCUGCAGCUAACGCAUUAAGCAUUCCGCUGGGGAGUACGGCCGCAAGGCUGAAACUCAAAGGAAUUGACGGGGGCCCGCACAAGCGGUGGAGCAUGUGGUUUAAUUCGAAGCUACGCGAAGAACCUUACCAGGUCUUGACAUACUAUGCAAAUCUAAGAGAUUAGACGUUCCCUUCGGGGACAUGGAUACAGGUGGUGCAUGGUUGUCGUCAGCUCGUGUCGUGAGAUGUUGGGUUAAGUCCCGCAACGAGCGCAACCCUUAUUAUCAGUUGCCAGCAUUAAGUUGGGCACUCUGGUGAGACUGCCGGUGACAAACCGGAGGAAGGUGGGGAUGACGUCAAAUCAUCAUGCCCCUUAUGACCUGGGCUACACACGUGCUACAAUGGAUGGUACAACGAGUUGCGAACUCGCGAGAGUAAGCUAAUCUCUUAAAGCCAUUCUCAGUUCGGAUUGUAGGCUGCAACUCGCCUACAUGAAGUCGGAAUCGCUAGUAAUCGCGGAUCAGCAUGCCGCGGUGAAUACGUUCCCGGGCCUUGUACACACCGCCCGUCACACCAUGAGAGUUUGUAACACCCAAAGUCGGUGGGGUAACCUUUAGGAACCAGCCGCCUAAGGUGGGACAGAUGAUUAGGGUGAAGUCGUAACAAGGUAACCA